CGUCCCCCUUGCCGUCCUUUCACCUGCAUCCUCUGCGAAUCCAAACCCCCACCUUCCUCUCCUCCUCUGCCACCACCGUCCCCUGCUCCUCCCCUUCCUGCUCCGCCGCACACUCCUCCCUCCAAUCCCAAAGGGAGCUGGGUGAAGUUGAGUACUUAGUGCUUGACGAAGCUGACCAGAUGCUUGCUGUUGGGUUUGAGGAGGCUGUGGAGUCGAUUCUUGAGUAGGCUAGGUUUGCUCAUCUAUGCACAGUCAUGUAUAAGAUGCACCAUCGCAGGGAAGGUUACCCAUUUGGCUCUUUGGUGGAUUUUGCACCUGAUCGUAUGGAGCGUAAGUCACUCAAUCUUUCUUGUUUUUUUUUUCUUUUCAACUGCUAAUAGCUCUGCAUCUGCUUCUUUCUUUUUAUGCUGCUGAGAUUGCCUCGUUUUAAUGAGUCACUAGUGGACCGAUUGAUUCAUAAGUUUCCCAUGGCUAAAAAAAAUUGUAUUGAUUUGGGUUUUGUUAAUAGGAGGGAACUAAAACUUGUUUUGGCACUGUCGCUUGGGUUGAUGUCAAAGAGUAUGAGGCUUUACAGCCAGAUAAGAUUGCUGUUGAUGGUGGUGAGCAUAACCUCAAGGAACUAAAUUCCAUCUUCUCAAAGCCGCUUAGGUAGCUACUGUCUACUGAAUCUGAAGUAGACGAUGCUGCAAUCAUCUCUGUAGAUAGCAAAGGGAUAGAUAUACGGGUUCGUCAAGGUGCUCAGUUCAACAUACAAAGGCUAGCAUGAAGUGUUGUCGUGAGAAGAGUUGGUGGUCGUGAGCUUGAACACAGAGGAGGCACGGCAUUGUGGUAGUGGUGCUAGCUGCCUCUGCUCACCAGAGUGCCUUGUAGUGCAGCCAUUUUCUUGAUUCUCUCUCUCUCCACCAAGUCAUCAUCUCCUUUUGUGUCUGUGUUCUAAACAAUAUGUAUUGACUUUGUAUGUUAUAAAACUCAUCGUUGAGUU